rnacentral:rRNA from 1 species
AUGCAUACGGCCUACCUGAAACUCCUCCAUAGUCUUUCUGCCGCUGCCUCCCCCACGCUCGCUCUCACCACUAACACUUCGCCGCUGCUCUACUCCUACUCGGCGCGGCGGCUCCGGAGGGGAAUUCCGUCGAGCAGGAUGAACGCAUUGGCGGCCACCAGCCGGAACUUCAAGCAGGCGGCCAAGCUGCUGGGCCUGGACUCCAAGCUCGAGAAGAGCUUGCUCAUCCCCUUCAGGGAGAUCAAGGUUGAGUGCACAAUUCCUAAAGAUGAUGGGACAUUAGCAUCCUAUGUUGGGUUUAGGGUGCAGCAUGACAAUGCCAGGGGCCCUAUGAAGGGUGGAAUCAGAUACCACCAUGAGGUUGAUCCUGACGAGGUCAAUGCCUUGGCGCAACUGAUGACAUGGAAAACAGCCGUGGCCAAUAUUCCAUAUGGAGGCGCUAAAGGUGGCAUAGGAUGCAGUCCUGGAGACCUGAGCAUAUCAGAGCUCGAGCGGCUUACCCGAGUUUUCACCCAGAAAAUUCAUGACUUAAUUGGCAUUCACACCGAUGUUCCGGCUCCUGACAUGGGCACCAACGCACAGACAAUGGCAUGGAUUCUGGAUGAGUACUCAAAGUUCCAUGGUUACUCACCUGCUGUGGUGACAGGAAAGCCUGUGGACCUUGGAGGAUCACUGGGAAGAGAUGCAGCUACUGGAAGGGGAGUUCUGUUUGCCACUGAAGCCCUACUUGCAGAGCAUGGCAAAGGCAUUGCAGGCCAGCGUUUUGUGAUCCAGGGAUUUGGUAAUGUUGGCUCCUGGGCUGCUCAACUGAUCACUGAAGCUGGUGGCAAGGUGAUCGCCAUCAGCGAUGUCACAGGGGCUGUCAAGAACUCUAAUGGCAUUGACAUAGCCAAGCUGAUGAAGCACUCGGCGGAGAACCGUGGGAUCAAGGGCUUCGACGGAGGAGACGCCGUCGACCCGACCUCGCUGCUCACCGAAGAGUGCGACGUCCUUAUCCCAGCUGCGCUGGGAGGAGUCAUAAACAAGGACAAUGCGGAUGGCAUCAAAGCAAAGUACAUCAUCGAGGCCGCGAACCACCCGACAGACCCCGAGGCCGACGAGAUUCUGGCGAACAAGGGGGUGCUGAUCCUGCCGGACAUCCUGGCCAACUCGGGCGGCGUGACGGUGAGCUACUUCGAGUGGGUGCAGAACAUCCAGGGGUUCAUGUGGGACGAGGAGAAGGUGAACCGGGAGCUCAAGACGUACAUGACCCGCGCCUUCCGGGACACCAAGGAGAUGUGCCGCUCCCACCACUGCGACCUCCGCAUGGGCGCCUUCACCCUCGGCGUCAACCGCGUCGCCCGCGCCACCGUCCUCCGCGGCUGGGAGGCCUGA